rnacentral:rRNA from 1 species
CGGGUGAGGAAUGCAUGGGUAACCUGUCCUUGAGAAGGGAAUAACCCGCCGAAAGGUGAGCUAAUACCCUAUACGCUUCGCUUUUUUUGAAAAGUGAAGGAAAGUCAAGCCGUGGGCUUGGCGCCCUCGGAGGGGCUCAUGUCCUAUCAGCUUGUUGGUGGGGUAACGGCCUACCAAGGCUACGACGGGUAGCUGGUCUGAGAGGAUGAUCAGCCACACUGGCACUGAGAUACGGGCCAG